AGUGGGAGGUGAUUGGAUCAUGGGGGUGGUUUCUGCCAUGCUGUUCUCACGGUAGUGAGGGAGUUCUGACAAGAGCUGAUGGUUUUAAGUGUGGCACCUCCUUGCUCUUGCUCUUUCUCUCUCCUGCCGCCAUCUAAGACACGCCUUACUUCCCCUUUGCCUUCCGCCAUGAUUGUUAAGUUUCCUCAGGCCACCCCAGCCCUGCAGAACUAAGUGACUCUCCAGGGGAGCUAAAAUCCAUGUAUUUGGGCACACACUUGAACAAUAUUGCUAGAGAAAUUUAAGCAAGAGCACAAAGAAAGAAUCAUCUGAAAGGAAUGUGGAGAUCAGAGAAAAAUGAUGGGAAAGUUACCACAGCCUGCAAAUGAGAAAUGAUGAGAGCCUGCCUGGGUUUUGCCAGGACGAUUAAAUAUCAUUGAUGCUUCUGGUCUACAAUUAGUCAGAGAAGAGAUUAAAAAAAUGAUGAGUAUUCAAGAAGGAAAGUGUUUGCUUUAACAUAUGAAGAAAAGGAGCUUCAGAGUGGUGAUUAACCCCAGAAUUGUGUGGAACGGAUAUGGAAACAAGACCACAGGAGCAUCGAGAACUGAGCAGAACUGAAGGUGACAUGAAAAUCAGCUGCAAGAUUCACCUCAGGGUGAUAAUGGGCUGCAGGUGGCUGCAGGAAUCCCGGGACAUUCUAGGCACUGCCAUAUUUUCUUAGGGGCCAGUAAGGAUGGCUAUCAUCAGAUGUACCUGAUGAUACAAACAUGGGCUGUCUUGCCUUCUAGUAUUCAUUCUUGAUGAUUGCAUCCAGAGCUCACUUUGGAGGUGCAGAUCAACUCUUCUUCAGGCUCAUCCAUGCGACUUGAGUGGGCUCUCAUCCCCAUUCCCAGGGGCUUAUGACAAUCAAGGUUUCCACUCCUCCAUGGUCUCAAUGGUUUUUCUCCCCAUGGGAAGCACAUAAUCCCAUUAGAGGCCACGGGAAGCUUUUUUGUUGGGCUUUGAGGGAAAAAAGGCUUUUGCAGCCAAUGAAUCGAUCAAUGUGUACUUCAACCUGGAUUGUAUGUAUGCAUCUCCUAGAUUGGGCGGAUGAUGAAGUGAGGCUGGAAGUGCUGAGCAUCUUCCUACCUGGGAUGACUGGGCUGAGCAGGAAGCCUACCCCGGGGUUCCAGCCAAGUUGGAGCCUGUGAGUGUGUGGUGUAGUUUAACGCCCUGAUUAAAUCACUAGGAAGCCAUUUCUCUCUCUCCUCCCAGACCAGAUCAGACAAUAUGUUCCCUUAUUUCUACUAAAGCCCCAAUUGGAUUUUGUGUCUUUUGAUACUGAAAGAAUCUUACCACAAAUAAAAUAAUUUGUCAUGUGGCUCCUACAUAUUUAUUCAGUUACAUAAACUAACUAAAUAAAUGAAUAAACUGUCA
ensembl:lncRNA novel transcript